UCGUAGGAAUGAAGACUCUGCCCUACUCUUCAGCGUAGGAACGAGGAAGAAAGCGCCCGCGCCCUCGCGCGCCCGCGCGAUGGCUCUGAGUCGUCUCCAUCUCGCUCCACCUCCCUAUCAUCAUUCCCCACCAUCUCCUCUCCUCUCCUAUCCUCUCCCUUUCCAAGAGCUGCUCCUCCGCCCAUCGUCUCCUCUGCUCCAAAUCGGUUCUGCCGCUCCAGGAAAAAAGAAAAUUGAAGCAGGAUUCGGGCGCGGGGGAGAGCUGUCCGCGGGCGAUCUUCUGGAUUAUCUCUACGAAUGUUGGGCUUAGUUCCUCGCCACUGCUGAAGCGAAAUGGCAACUGAUCGCGGCGGGACGCUCCUUCUUCGCGCGGAACAUGUCCUCCUUGGUUGCCUUUGCGGUCGGAGAAAAAUAUAACAAUGGCAGUGGGUUUCACAUAAUUGCUGCUCAGACAGAUAGCCAUGCUUGAAACAGAAGCGUAGGUCUGCAUCCUCCAGGUCUAGAUUUCUGACGGUAAAUGUGCAGGCGUAUGGAGGAGGCUUAUGGCACGUAUGGUUCGGCAGAGGUCAAAAUUUGGCUCAAAGAGUUAUCCUAAAAGCUGGUGAUGGUUCCCUAAUGCAUAAGCUUGUCAUAAUGAGGAGAGCUUUCUGGCAUGUACCGAUAUUGGCCAUUCAUCUUGAAAGUCAACACUGAAGGGUUCAGACCAAACUGUGAGUCACCUUGUUCCACUACUUGCAACAAAACUUGAGGAGGCACAAGUGCAAUCUGAAGACAAAAAGGAUUCAUUUCACUUCCAUUGCAGGAAAUUUUUGUGAGGAAUGAUCUGGGAUGUGGAUGUACUAAGGCGCCAUACUUGCUUCUGGGGUUGGUUCGUUGUACAAACUGUAGAUUGCGGCAUUCCUCAGCUCUCCACGCACAGUAUGCCCCUGAAUCAAAGAGGAGAAGAAGGAGGAGGAGAAGAAAACAUAAAACUGUUAAUGUUCAAAUGGAUCAGUCUCCAGACACCGGCCAGAAUGAUCCUGAAACAUCAUAAAUAUUUUGCCAUCUCAUGAAGAUCGGCAGCUCGCAUCUCUCUUAACACACAGUUUGGUAUCUUGGUGUGAUGUUGGUGUGGUAGGUGCUUUUGUCCUCCUAUCUUUUCGAGUGUAGGCUUUCCUGCGGUGGAAGUACUCUCUGGAUCAAGUGGGCAGGCAUGCGUCUGAAUAGCUCAUUACUCUACUGCUCUGCAGCGCCUUUGGUUCUUCUGAAUGGUAAUGAAGGGUGGAAAGGAUGCAACACAUGAAAACCUGAAAUAAGCAGAAACUGAAUUCGGAGCAGGAUCAUGGAUACUUGGUUCUGUAAUGGAGUGCAAGUGAACUUAGAUGGUGAAAAAUGAGCUACAUUGUCGAGGAGAUCGUGGCAAAAGAUGUCGAUAUUGCCUACAAACGUUUCGUGGCCUUCUUCCAAUCUUUUUUCUGGCAUCGACAAGAAGCUUAGCAUGGAUUCUUAGGUGAUGGAUACCAUAACUUGGCUUAUUUAUAUUGUUCCAAAAUUAUUCCUAGUGGCGGUAAAAUUAAAUUAAAUUGUUCUAGCAUUUGGCCUAUGAAUAUUCAUUCCUGUUGGCACCGUUUCCUGUAGAAAGCAAGAAGAAUUUCUUGUA